rnacentral:lncRNA from 1 species
UGGGUGACGACACACGUAGCCUUCCUAAGGCCUUUGUGACCCCAUUCUGUGUGGCUUACCCCUUCCUUCUCAGACUCGGUGAGACUUGUUCCAUCUUCCCAAGGUUCCCGAACUCUGUGGGCCCUCGUCUUAUCUCCCCGGCCAGCCCAUCCAUCACGUGACCUCCAGCACUGUGGCCUGUGUGUGCCAGGCCCUCCAAGGAGCUCAGGUGCCGCCAGGCAGUCAGUCUCCUUGUAUUCCAGUCCACGUAAUUAUCGAUGCUUCCCAGGUUCUGCCCUUCAGCCUCGACCUCUCCCUGGGCCCUCGGCCUGGUUACCUGACUGUCCACUUGAGAGCUCAGCAGGGAUGUCCAGCAGCAAGGAAAGGUCAGGUGAGGACCCCGACCACGCUGCCACCUUCAUCUCGGACUUCUGGCUUCCAGAGCACAAGGAGGGAGUGUUUGCUGUUUAAGCCAUCCAGUCUAUGGUACUUUGUUACAGCAGCCUAAACUGACCAAGACAUCCCUCUUCUGUAUGGCAGAAUUAUUAUCAGUCAUAGUCAAGAGAUAAAACUUAUAAUCAUGUCCAGAAAAAAAAAUGCAGAGUGUAAAGUGUCUUAAAUUGAACUUUGUAUGUAUAAUCAUGGCAUGAUAAAAGUGAAUACUUUUUUUUUUUUUCUUUGAGAUGGAGUUUCACUCUUGUUGCCCAGGCUGGAGUGCAGUGGCGCGAUCUUGGCUCACUGCAACCUCCGCCUCCCGGGUUCAAGCAAUUCUCCUGCCUCUGCCUCCCAGGUAGCUGGGACUACAGGUGCCUGCCACCACACCUGGCUAAUUUUUGUAUUUUUAGUAGAGACGGGGUUUCACCAUGUUGGCCAGGAUAGUCUCAAUCUUUUGACCUCGUGAUCCGCCUGCCUCCGCCUCCCAAAGUGCUGGGAUUACAGGCGUGAGCCACCGCGCCCGGCAUUUUCAUUUUUAAAGAUAGUAUUUAAAAUCAGUAAUAUUUCAUGUAUGAACUAAUAUGUAUAUUUGUCAAACAAAAAAUGUUAUACCUUGAAGUUCACAGUUUUAUCACUUUACAUAUUUUAAACACAAAUAAACAUCCCAAGUGGUCCCAUAGACUGACAGAGUUGAAGUAACUGAUGUUCUGUUUCCUCGUCUUUAUUUUGUUUUCGGUUUUUUUUUUUUUUUUGAGACAGGGUCUUCCUCUGUUGUCCAGGCUGGAGUGCAGUGGUGCAGUCAUAGCUCACUGCAGCCUCAAAUUCCUAGGCUCAAGUGAUUCUUCUACCUCAGCCUCCGCUACCAUACCUGGAUAAUUUUUAUUUUUAUUUUUGCAGAGAUGAUGUCUUACUGUAUUGCCCAGGCUG